AUCAUGGCCAGUUUAUAAAUCGAGGAGCCUUAGGACACCCUGAGUUGGGAGCAAAGCCUAGGUUUCUGAGUUAGGGUUUGGUACACGACAAACGUGAUACAACUGAAAAUAACCCAGCCUUCCACACACUCCGCGGAUGGUGGCCGCUUCAGCUUCAGUAUCUAUGAGCAGAGAUGAAGUCCUGCCUUCCACAAGAUUCCAGUCCCAAGUACUUCUGACGUUCCUGUGGGGAUCUGGCAAAUGCUACCAGACAAACUAAAUGUCCACUAUUGUGCACUGACGACACUGUUCUCCCACUGGGUCUGCUGCCCUGCAAACACCAUAACUGCAAGUGGAUGCACUUCUUCCCAUUGGCCACUCUGGUCUCCAUUGGCCACCACUGUCACCUGCUGUGUGCCACCAAAGGUAUUUUGGAUCUCUCAAAUUGCCAAAGGUGCACAGCCAACAAGCUAAGGAAAUUGGGAGGCCCUUCCUUGGCUGAUGAACGGAUCUUUCCUGGAUGCUGAUGAAGAAAGAUGGCAGCAUGAGGAAGAUUUGACGUUGCCCAUCGCUGGUUCUGAAAUGUAGGGGACUAUGUGCAAGGACCAAAGAGAGGUCUCUACAAGCUGGAAAAGGCAAGGAAAUGGAUUCUCCCCUUGUGCCUCCAGAAAGGAAUGCCUACUGAUACCCUGGUUUUGGCUCAACAAUACAGGUUACCUAAAAAUUAUCAACACAAUAGAGAGAAGAACAUGAACUUUGGAUAUUGCCUGAGCUUGUCAGAUUAUCAUAUCACUUGGAUUGCCAAGAACAGCCAUCUAGAGGUGCACUUCCAUGAAUAAAAAGGAAAGCAACAUGGAGCUAUUUGCUCUACAGCUGUGUUUGCUUACAGGAAACUCAGGCAGGAUGCUGAUAAGUGGCUUGAAAAGCCAAACCACAGAACUGGCCAGAACCAGGUGCAAGAUGACAAGCCAGUUCUCUGACCUGACUUUAAGCUCAUUAUGCCCUAAUUGCAAUACAUUACCUUGCUAAGAUUCAUGUGGCGUGGUUGGGGUGAGGAAUAGAAGCACUUUGCAGGCACAAUCUGCCCUGUGCAAAGGAAUUUGAGAGGCUGCACAAGCACCAGCCUUUCCUGGAAACCCCUGUCCCUUUGUAGUAAAUCCUGACUCUCCUGUCACUGCCCCUGCCUUCCUGGCCCCUGAAAAGUCUCCCAAUACCCAUUUUGGAGAGUAGGUGCCAUUAGAACAUGAGCUCUCAUCUCUCCAUUCCUUGAUCAAAGAAUAAAACUUCUCUGCUAAACUGAACUGGGCCUCCUCUUAUUGCAUAAGUGAUACUGGGCAAGAGAACCCUUGUUAGGGUCCCAACCCCUCAAAGAGUGUCAGUAACAUAAGCACAGAAAAAAUUUAAAAAUAAAUAUAAUCUGAAACCGAUUUUGCUAACUUAACCCUAGAAGAAAAGGGACAGUAUGAACCAAGUAACUGGAUUUCCUUAUUCAGGUGAGUGAAUUUCUACCUCUUGCAUCAGAAACAGAAACCUCAGACUAUCUAGGUGUACCAGAACAUUCUAUGGAGAAGACAGUGUCUGCAGAAACCCUUCCAAAGCCUACAGCUAUCCCAGAGAGUUUACAAGAAGCAUUUGUAAAGAGAAAAAAAAAGUUUAUUGAGAGAUCCACAAGAAGAAAUAAAGA